rnacentral:rRNA from 1 species
UACGUAGGGGGCGAGCGUUGUCCGGAAUCAUUGGGCGUAAAGGAGCGUGUGAGGCGGCUUGGCAAGUCUGACGUGAAAGCCCGCGGCUCAACCGCGGAUUGUCGUUGGAAACUGCCUCGCUAGAGUCCGGAAGAGGAGAGCGGAAUUCCUGGUGUAGCGGUGGAAUGCGCAGAUAUCAGGAAGAACACCCGUGGCGAAGGCGGCUCUCUGGGACGGUACUGACGCUGAGACGCGAAAGCGUGGGGAGCGAACAGG